UAAGGAUGGUUCUUCAGAAGCUUGCUUCUAUCGAACCGUUUUAGAAACAUCAGUGGCCAACGAUCGUCAGGAUUGUUGAGCUGCAUUGGCGGGAUUUCGCCGUCUUCGUUUCUCUUUCUUCGCGGACGAACACGCGCCAGGGGCUCAGCGCUUGUGCGAUGCAUCCGGCCGGUUGGCUGAUGCUCGCGAGCGGGCCCCUAGUCGUUAGGGGCUUGUAGCUCAGUUGGUUAGAGCGCGCGCUUGAUAAGCGUGAGGUCGGAAGUUCAAGUCUUCCCAGGCCCACCACCUUGAUCGAGCGUAUGUGUCUCUCAUCCAGCUUAAAGCAUUCGUCUUCUGGUACGGGGCCAUAGCUCAGCUGGGAGAGCGCGUGCUUUGCAAGCAUGAGGUCGUCGGUUCGAUCCCGUCUGGCUCCACCAGAUGAAAUCGAAGAUCGAUGCGCUUGCUGCAGGCCUCGACAUCAUCGUCCGCGAAACAUCACUUCGCACCCGCGGUCCGGAUGGACGGCGUGGUGCGUGAUAUCUGACAUCGUAAAGAGGAGAUCGAUCCGAGUUUGGGAUCUGCGGAGCAAUUCGCGGGUACUCAUUCAUAAUCUCCAGAUCAUUUCGGCGCUCGUUCAUCGCAAGAUGAGCGAGUUGUAAAUGAUCUUUUUAGCGAAGCUUGACCGCCUCGCUAUCGGUUCGAUCUUACGAAGCAAGCUGGUCUUUCUAAUCAGUGUCCGGCCGCGCAUAGCAUUCAUCGAGGGUGCGUGCCUUAACAGGCAAUUGUGCGGACAACAUUCUGCCGAGUGUGUGGACAUUGAUAAUGAGAGCA
rnacentral:tRNA from 1 species